rnacentral:tRNA from 1 species
GAGGAAAGACCGUGGCUCAACAGAAGAGCAUCUGCUUAGCAUGCAGAAGAUCCCAGGUUCAAUCCCCAGUAUCUUCA